UAUUGGGCGUAAGGGCUCGCAGGCGGUUUCUUAAGUCUGAUGUGAAAGCCCCCGGCUCAACCGGGGAGGGUCAUUGGAAACUGGGAAACUUGAGUGCAGAAGAGGAGAGUGGAAUUCCACGUGUAGCGGUGAAAUGCGUAGAGAUGUGGAGGAACACCAGUGGCGAAGGCGACUCUCUGGUCUGUAACUGACGCUGAGGAGCGAAAGCGUGGGGAGCGAACAGGAUUAGAUACCCUGGUAGUCCACGCCGUAAACGAUGAGUGCUAAGUGUUAGGGGGUUUCCGCCCCUUAGUGCUGCAGCUAACGCAUUAAGCACUCCGCCUGGGGAGUACGGUCGCAAGACUGAAACUCAAAGGAAUUGACGGGGGCCCGCACAAGCGGUGGAGCAUGUGGUUUAAUUCGAAGCAACGCGAAGAACCUUACCAGGUCUUGACAUCCUCUGACAACCCUAGAGAUAGGGCUUUCCCUUCGGGGACAGAGUGACAGGUGGUGCAUGGUUGUCNUCAGCUCGUGUCGUGAGAUGUUGGGUUAAGUCCCGCAACGAGCGCAACCCUUGAUCUUAGUUGCCAGCAUUUAGUUGGGCACUCUAAGGUGACUGCCGGU
rnacentral:rRNA from 1 species